UCGGUCACGUUUGGUUUAUUUCGAGAAAUUCUCUCUGUUUUUAUUAAUUUAGUUUUAGUCAGCAAAGUUGUAAAAAAGUGAAUAAAAACCCGAAUCUGAUGUUCAGGGUUGUUGUUAAUUCUACCUCCACAGUGUAACACAAAAGCGGCCACCCGCGCGAGACUCAUAGUGGAUCUCGGGCGGAGUGCACUUAACACGACGCAAGUCGCGUAAUCCUCACGCCUUCACUCAAAACCCCUCUAAACUCUAAAGAGUCGUGAUGAGUAAAGAGCCAGGAAGCAAGGAGUAGCGAACAAAAUAUGAACCUACACCAACUGUCCGUACUAUCCGUAGGUUAUUUUGUGGAGUAGCGAUUUAAUCUCCUCGGAAGGAAGGACAAAAGAAAACGCAACAUAACCUAGAUUCAUGUUUAAUUUACUUACUUUGUUUCCUUUUUCAUAAAAUAUUACAAUUUUCCGUAAAAAAAAUAAUUUUGAAUUAAAAUUAUGGAAGAAACAGAAAA